rnacentral:lncRNA from 1 species
UUUUUUUCAGGAAGUGCUCUACUAUUCUUUUUCUCAUCUACGGUCCAUUUGGCUCCAGUUUGGGGGAAGAUCGGCCGCUUGGCCGUCGACCUCCUCCCAUUUUUAGUUUUCUUUUCUAGUUUGUUUUCUUUAGUUUUCUCAUCUUUGUGGUUUAGUCUCAUUGACAGAGUGUAAAUUCCUUUUGGGGUUUUUGAGUUUCUUCUCAAGUUUUAUUUGAUGAUCUGCUUGCAUAUUUGGAGAUCUUCCCUCCAAGAUGGUUAUGAAGUCUCUACGACUUUCUACGUUGGCAGUGAAAGGGAGGAUUCGCCACCCGCUGCCUUGCCAUGUUCCCGGUUGAUCCGGCCAGAUCGAAAUCUCUAUGGUGAUGGUUGCUACAUAUCCUUCCUGUUUCCAUGGCUUUGAAGGUAAUGAACAGAGAAGUUCUUCUCUUAUGUUGAUUGCUGGAGCUUUAUGAACAGAGAAGUUCUUCUCUUAUGUUGAUUGCUGGAGCUUUCUUCCUCAUUAGUGGCCAACACUGAGUCGAGAAUAUAGAGGCGUUAGUGAAGCUUCCUAAUUUGUUGGGGGUUCAUUUUGCCCAUCUCCUUUUUCAAGGCUCUAGCUGCUUGUUUUGGUUUUAGGUCGGAUUGUAGUUUUUAGUUCUUGUAUGGGUUCUUGAUCUGCAUUUUAAACUCUUUCAAUGAAAUGAAAUGGAUUUUUUGAAAAAAAAAAAACUCAAUUUUCAUUGCUUUGACCAAUAUUUAUAAAUUUCUAUAAUAAAGGGGUUUUUCUUAAUGAAGAAGUCCAAUCUCUCUUUUUAUUCUUAUGGCUGUUAACACACAAAACAUUU